GACAGAGGGUGCAAACGUUGUUCGGAAUUACUGGGCGUAAAGCGUGUGUAGGUGGCCGCGCAAGUCGGAUGUGAGAGCCCUGGGCUCAACUCAGGAAGUGCACCCGAUACUGCGUGGCUCGAGUACCGGAGAGGUUGGUGGAAUUCUCGGUGUAGAGGUGAAAUUCGUAGAUAUCGAGAGGAACACCUGUGGCGAAGGCGGCUCUCUGGGCCUUUCCUGACGCUGAGACGCGAAAGCGUGGGGAGCGAACCGG
rnacentral:rRNA from 1 species